CCUACGGGUGGCAGCAGGGAGGAAUAGUGGUAAAUGGCCGGAAGGCUGAACCAGCCAAGCCGCGGGAGGGAGGAAGGCGCAGAGCGUCGCAGACCUCUUUUGCCGGGGGACAAAAGGCCGGACUCGUCCGGUCCUGAGUGUACCCGGAGAAAAAGCAUCGGCUAACUCCGUGCCAGCAGCCGCGGUAAUACGGGGGAUGCGAGCGUUAUCCGGAUUUAUUGGGGUUAAAGGGGGCGCAGGCGGGCCUUUAAGCCGGCGGUGAAAUCCCGGGGCUCAACCCCGCCGUGCCGUCGAAACUGGGGGCCUUGAGUGCGGCAGAGGCAUGCGGAAUGCGCGGUGUAGCGGUGAAAUGCAUAGAUAUCGCGCAGAACCCCGAUUGCGAAGGCAGCGUGCCGUGCCGCCACUGACGCUGAGGCACGAAAGCGCGGGGAUCGAACAGGAUUAGAUACCCCAGUAGUC
rnacentral:rRNA from 1 species